rnacentral:rRNA from 1 species
UACGUAGGUGGCAAGCGUUAUCCGGAUUUAUUGGGCGUAAAGAGAACGCAGGCGGUCUUUUAAGUCUGAUGUGAAAGCCUUCGGCUUAACCGGAGUAGUGCAUUGGAAACUGGGAGACUUGAGUGCAGAAGAGGAGAGUGGAACUCCAUGUGUAGCGGUGAAAUGCGUAGAUACAUGGAAGAACACCAGUGGCGAAAGCGGCUCUCUGGUCUGUAACUGACGCUGAGGUUCGAAAGCGUGGGUAGCAAAUAGG